GUAAAUUUUGGGGCCCUGUUUUGGAAUAGAACAAAUUGUUGAUUUGAAAUCGGGGGCCUGGGGCAAAUCGCCCCAGUUACCCCCCCCCCUUUGAGCGGCCCUGUAAACCAAAACAUGUAACAUUUAUACUUAAACAAGAAAGAACAAAAUAGUAAUAAAUAUCGCGUUUUCUCUGUGUAGGUAAAUGGUUCAUUGUCAGAACAAACGAGGAAGUAUAGACAAGGGGGCGGUAAUGUCGGCGAGAACCUUGUACUUACCUAUAUUUCUUUCUAGAUUGUAUGUAAAAUAAUGCGUUAGCUCUGUUCUAUUAAAUGGUCCAGUGUCAGAAUCAAUAGAAAAAUGUAGGCGAAUAGAUUGGAAUGUCGGUGAAUGGUCUAUUGCAGGGAUGGGGAUGGGGGAUUUGGUUCGAUUCGGCCCGCUACUUAUACCAGAAUCUAUAUCCUCAAAAAACAAUAUUCAUGAACAGGAUGAUUGAGAAACGUCGUGAGAGCGUUUUGCGAAUUUCUUCCACAAAUUUGGACCCAAAUUUCGACGCUAUAAUUACUGAACAGUCGAAAUUUCAUUUUUCAUACUACCCCAAGACAUCGAAACAAAAAUUUUUUCAAGCUGAUUUUUUGUUACGUAUAAAAAAUCCUCUUUGGCCCGCUUAGAUGGGAAUGUUGGUGGGCACCCUGUGUUCUUAUUUUCCUUUAAAGAACUGCUCAUUGUGUGUAAAAUAAUGCAUUCUCUCUGUUUUAGUGGAAUAGUCCAGUGUCAGAAAUCAAUUUAGGCAAGCUGAUGGGAAUGUCAAUGAGAACCGUGUCUUCUUAUUUUUCUUUAACCGAUUGUGUGUAAAACAAUGCAUUCUCUCUGUUUAGAUUAAUGGUCCAGUGUCAGAAAUCAAUGGAAAAAUUUGACCAAGCAGAUGGGAAUGUCGGUGAGAACCUUGUGUUUCUAUUUUUCAUUAAAUGUUGAUUUUGUGUAAAAUAAUGCAUUAUCUCUGUUUCAGGUGAAUGGUCCACUGUCAGAAAUCAAUGGAAAAGUUUAGGCAUGCUGCUGGGAAAGUCGGUGAGAACCUUGUGUUCUUAGUUUUUUUUAAAUUGAACCUUGCGGGUUAAAUAAUCGUUGUUUUAGGUAAAUGGUACAGUUUUAGAAUCAAUGAAAAGAUUGAGUCAUGUAGAUGGGAAAAAUUGCCCAUUGUGUGUAAAAUAAUGCUUUUUCUCUGUUUAGGAGAAUCGUCCAGUGGCGAAAUCAAUGGAAAAAUUUAGGCAAAGAGAUGGGAAUGUCGGUGAGAACCUUGAAUUCUUAUUUUCUUUAAAAUUGCCGAGUGCGUGUAAAAUAAUGCGUUGUCUCUGUUUGGGUGAUUGGUCCAGUGUCCGAAAUCAAUGGAAAAAUUAAGACAAGCAGAUGGGAAUCUCGGUAAAUGGUCCACUGUCGGGAAUCAAUGGAGAAAUGAAG